rnacentral:rRNA from 1 species
UACGUAGGGGGCAAGCGUUGUCCGGAUUUAUUGGGCGUAAAGAGCGUGUAGGCGGCUUUACACGUCCGUUGUGAAAACUCGAGGCUCAACCUCGAGACGCCGGUGGAAACCGUAAGGCUAGAGUCCGGAAGAGGAGAGUGGAAUUCCUGGUGUAGCGGUGAAAUGCGCAGAUAUCAGGAGGAACACCCGUGGCGAAAGCGGCUCUCUGGGACGGUACUGACGCUGAGACGCGAAAGCGUGGGGAGCAAACAGG